rnacentral:rRNA from 1 species
AUUGAACGCUGGCGGCAGGCCUAACACAUGCAAGUCGAACGGAGUGGCGGACGGGUGAGUAGUGUCUGGGAAACUGCCCAGUAGCGGGGGAUAACUACGCGAAGGCGUAGCUAAUACCGCAUACUAUUGGAGCGGCCGAUAGGGGAGUAGCUAGUUGGUGGGUUAACGGCUCACCAAGGCGACGAUCCGUAGCUGGUUUGAGAGGACGACCAGCCAAACUGGGACUGAGACACGGCCCAGACUCCUACGGGAGGCAGCAGUGGGGAAUUUUGGACAAUGGGGGCAAGCCUGAUGCAGCCAUGCCGCGUGUGUGAUGAAGGCCUUCGGGUUGUAAAGCACUUUUGGCAGGGAGGCGUUACCUGCAGAAUAAGCACCGGCUAACUACGUGCCAGCAGCCGCGGUAAUUC